rnacentral:rRNA from 1 species
AUUGAACGCUGGCGGCAUGCCUUACACAUGCAAGUCGAACGGCAGCAUGAUCUAGCUUGCUAGAUUGAUGGCGAGUGGCGAACGGGUGAGUAAUACAUCGGAACGUGCCCUGUAGUGGGGGAUAACUAGUCGAAAGAUUAGCUAAUACCGCAUACGACCUGAGGGCGAAAGUGGGGGACCGCAAGGCCUCAUGCUAUAGG